rnacentral:rRNA from 1 species
CCUACGGGCGGCUGCAGUGGGGAAUAUUGCACAAUGGGCGCAAGCCUGAUGCAGCCAUGCCGCGUGUGUGAAGAAGGCCUUCGGGUUGUAAAGCACUUUCAGCGGGGAGGAAGGCGGUGAGGUUAAUAACCUCAUCGAUUGACGUUACCCGCAGAAGAAGCACCGGCUAACUCCGUGCCAGCAGCCGCGGUGAUACGGAGGGUGCAAGCGUUAAUCGGAAUUACUGGGCGUAAAGCGCACGCAGGCGGUCUGUCAAGUCGGAUGUGAAAUCCCCGGGCUCAACCUGGGAACUGCAUUCGAAACUGGCAGGCUAGAGUCUUGUAGAGGGGGGUAGAAUUCCAGGUGUAGCGGUGAAAUGCGUAGAGAUCUGGAGGAAUACCGGUGGCGAAGGCGGCCCCCUGGACAAAGACUGACGCUCAGGUGCGAAAGCGUGGGGAGCAAACAGGAUUAGAUACCCCAGUAGUC